ACCUUCCCCUCCCCCUCCCCGCCCCCUCCCCCUCACGCACCCCCAAGACUCUCUCUAUUUAGCACAAAGCAAAAGCUGAUAAACGUGGGGUUCGCCUCCUUCCAGAAAAAAAAAAUGUCCUGGCUCAUCGGGACUUUUUUAAAAAAUAAAAAUUUAAAAAAAAAAUUUUAAAAAAAGAUAAAAUUAAAAAAAAAAACCUUCAAACUAUUUUUAAGCUAUUUUAAACUUUUGUAAAAAAAAAAAUACGACUAAAAAAAAAAACCCACAAAGAUCUAUGAAAUCCAUCCACGGGAGACUCUUCGGAGGAGGAAAUAUUUGUAUUUGAACAAAAUCCUUGGUGUGUCCCCCUCCCCGUCUCCUGUCCCCGCAGAAUACGAGCUUCUGUGUGUCCAUGUUUGAUGAUGGAGGGUCCCUGGGAUCCGCGGGGCUCAUGUGUGUGUGUGUGUGUGUUCAUUUCUUCUUUGGCUUUUUAGAUAAAUAUGUAUAUCGAUAUUUUAAAUCCAUCUUUGGCUUUUUCUGUUUUGUAGAGGAGUUUGUAAUCACCUUAUAACACGACAAUAAACAUUUCCUUUUUGAAAGCCCCCAGCUGGUGUGCGGUGUGUUGGGGCUGAGCGGACGUUUCCCCGUGGGUUGGGCGGCUCGAGCCCUUGACGGUUUCUAGAAAUUUCUGUGAAGGGCUUUUUGAGGCCAACCCUGCAAAACUGUAGAGUGCAGGUGGAGGAUCCCGUCCCAGGUGGGGGGGGGACCAUUUCUGUAUUUUAUUGAG
rnacentral:lncRNA from 1 species